UAGUGACUCUGCUACACCAAUGCUAACCUGAGUACUUACUGUGACUCGCAUUAACCAAAAAACACCGCCUGUAGCAGUGUGAGUGCUGUGAAAGGUUGACUGCCGCUCAUUAGAACCCUAGCCCGAGAGGACGUUCAGUGAGUUGAUCCUGAGGAUAGUGACUCUGCUACACCAAUGCUAACCUGAGUACUUACUGUGACUCGCAUUAACCUGUGUGUCAGAGAUACUGAUAGUAACAGGAUGUUCAUUGUUACCAUAACGAACCCCCCGUGAAGAAUUGUAAAUUUGUAAAAAAUAUUCCAACAUGUAAUUUUCGGCUUCAUGACAGAGAUACUGAUAGUAACAGGAUGUUCACUGUAGACAACAUUAUUUUUUUUUAUAUAUAAUAUUAAAAAAAACUACAUAAUUAUAAAGAAAUAUUAAUCAAGACUUUUAUAAAUGUAUUUGUUUGUAUUUUUAUAUCAUUAAGUGUGGUAAUAAUAUAUUCGGGUGUUUGCAGUGUCGGUAGUGUAGUUUUUGACCCUUUUUUUUUUAACCAAUCCAUACAUGCGGUUUUUCCAAUUUCUCAAACCGCAGUCGCACCGCGAAACUAAAAAUCGCAGAACUCGCACUGCGGAAAAUGGUGCGAUGCGGUACUGUUUUUUCGAUUUGGACUAUUACCAAUAAUUAAACUAUCACAAAUACAACAAAACUUGAGUAACAAUUGUGAAAAAUUAAAUUUCAAUCAACGUAAAUUAAAAUAUUUAAUGUUUACUAAUAUUGGCAUCCCUACUAAUAUUAUUUAAUGGAUUUAACAAAUAUUUAGUAAUGUAAUAUGGGACGUACACUGUUCAAUUGAUGGACCUUGUCAAUUCACACAACACUAAAAUAUUAUUUUAAAAGAAAGGACCGGUUGAGACAUGACAUGAUACGCUUCCCAACGAAACAAUCAGCCAUGCCCUAUUAUGUUGUACGAAUUAGGUUUUGAAAUUGGGGUUUAUUUUGGCACCAAGAUUGAUAAUGUUAGAAAACUUUUUAAAAAAAUUCAUUUUCCCACCACUAACUCAUUUGGAACAGCCUAUAUAUAAACAGGUGCCCCCUUUACUUGUGAGUGACACACAUUAUCUCCACCAUAGUUAGAAAAAAAAAAAAAAAUUUGUACACCUCACUCAGAAAUUAUAGUACAUCGCACAUGGUGGCUGGUGGUGGAGAAGACUCAUGCGGGUUCGAUGGGGGUGGUCCGCCUUGGAGAAAUUCACUUCAGGGACACCCCCAUUGCUACUGUGGUGAUCUAGCUUAUGUUUGGACUUCUAGUAGUAGAGCAAAUCCUGGUCGUCGAUUCUUCGGAUGUCCACACUAUGAGAACGAUGAAAGUCGAGGAUGUGAUUACUUUUGUUGGAUCGAUAAAUCACAUGGUAAGAGAAGUACAGAUGCUACACCUGGAUUGCGAAACCAAAUCAAGAUUUUCGAAGAAGAUAAGAAACGCAAUGAGAAUGUUAUUAGAAAAUUAAUUUUUAUCAUUUUUAUUUGCCUUCUCAUCAUUGUCCAACUUAUAUUGCGUUGAAGAUAUGGGUUGUCCCAAAAUGCAAAUGUUUUGUAUGUCUUAUGUUCUCAAAACUUGUUUAACUUAAUUGUGUAGAUCUUAAUAGAACCGUGUGGAUGAUGACGAAAAUUUCAUUUGGUAUGAAGUACCCACAACGUUCUCAAAAUUUUAUGUUUUCUACAUUUCUAAUUUCUGUAGCAAAUUUCGUCAAUGGGUUCAAUGUGAAGUUGCAAAAUUGUAUAUUAUUCACAUCUUCGUAUUUGUUAUGUGAAGUAGCGCAAUGAGAAUGUUCUAUAUUCCAUAUUUUUCCUCA